CAUCGCUCUUUGAAGUAAAAAAAUAAGGAGUCGAACCUGCCCAGUGAAAAUUUUCAACGGCCGCGGUACUCUGACCGUGCAAAGGUAGCAUAAUCAUUUGCCUUAUAAUUGAAGGCUAGUAUGAAUGGUCUGACGAGAGCAACACUGUCUCCUUUUUAUUUUCUAGAAUUUAACCUUCAGGUGAAGAGGCCUGAAUCCCAUUGAAGGACAAGAAGACCCUGUCGAGCUUAAAAAGUAAAUUAGAAGUCUAUAUAUGAUCUCAAAUAAAAUUCUAUUACUCUUUUUUGGUUGGGGCGACCAAGGAACAAAAAAAGCUUCCUUAUUUUCUUUAACUUAUAUGUUUUGAUCCAGCCAAAGCUGAUUAAAAAAAUUAGUUACCGCAGGGAUAACAGCAUAAUCUCUCUUGAGAGACCUAAUCGAAAGAGGGGGUUGUGACCUCGAUGUUGGACUAGAAUAUCCUAAAGAUGCAGAAGUCUUUAAGGGUUGGUCUGUUCGACCAUUAAAAUUCUAC
rnacentral:rRNA from 1 species